rnacentral:rRNA from 1 species
GACGAACGCUGGCGGCGUGCUUAACACAUGCAAGUCGAACGGAAAGGCCCUGCUUUUGUGGGGUGCUCGAGUGGCGAACGGGUGAGUAACACGUGAGUAACCUGCCCUUGACUUUGGGAUAACUUCAGGAAACUGGGGCUAAUACCGGAUAGGAGCUCCUGCUGCAUGGUGGGGGUUGGAAAGUUUCGGCGGUUGGGGAUGGACUCGCGGCUUAUCAGCUUGUUGGUGGGGUAGUGGCUUACCAAGGCUUUGACGGGUAGCCGGCCUGAGAGGGUGACCGGCCACAUUGGGACUGAGAUACGGCCCAGACUCCUACGGGAGGCAGCAGUGGGAAAUAUUGCACAAUGGGCGGAAGCCUGAUGCAGCAACGCCGCGUGCGGGAUGACAGCCUUCGGGUUGUAAACCGCUUUCGCCUGUGACGAAGCGUGAGUGACGGUAAUGGGUAAAGAAGCACCGGCUAACUACGUG